GUGGGGAAUAUUGGACAAUGGGCGAAAGCCUGAUCCAGCCAUGCCGCGUGUGUGAAGAAGGUCUUCGGAUUGUAAAGCACUUUAAGUUGGGAGGAAGGGCAGUAAGUUAAUACCUUGCUGUUUUGACGUUACCGACAGAAUAAGCACCGGCUAACUUCGUGCCAGCAGCCGCGGUAAUACGAAGGGUGCAAGCGUUAAUCGGAAUUACUGGGCGUAAAGCGCGCGUAGGUGGUUUUGUAAGUUGGAGGUGAAAUCCCCGGGCUGAACCUGGGAACUGCCUCCAAAACUGCAUGACUAGAGUACGGUAGAGGGUAGUGGAAUUUCCUGUGUAGCGGUGAAAUGCGUAGAUAUAGGAAGGAACACCAGUGGCGAAGGCGACUACCUGGACUGAUACUGACACUGAGGUGCGAAAGCGUGGGGAGCAAACAGGAUUAGAAACCCGUGUAGUCC
rnacentral:rRNA from 1 species